rnacentral:rRNA from 1 species
UACAGGGGGUGCAAACGUUGCUCGGAAUCAUUGGGCGUAAAGGGUGCGUAGGCGGUCGCGCAAGUCGGAUGUGAAAUCUCAGGGCUCAACCCUGAAACUGCAUUCGAUACUGCGUGGCUAGAGUGCUGGAGAGGAGACUGGAAUUUACGGUGUAGCAGUGAAAUGCGUAGAUAUCGGGAGGAACACCUGUGGCGAAAGCGGCGCACUGGACCACAACUGACGCUGAGGCGCGAAAGCUAGGGGAGCAAACAGG